rnacentral:rRNA from 1 species
UACGGGGGGGGCAAGCGUUGUUCGGAAUUACUGGGCGUAAAGGGCGCGUAGGCGGCCUACUAAGUCGGACGUGAAAUCCCUCGGCUCAACCGGGGAACUGCGUCCGAUACUGGUGGGCUCGAGUCCGGGAGAGGGAUGUGGAAUUCCAGGUGUAGCGGUGAAAUGCGUAGAUAUCUGGAGGAACACCGGUGGCGAAGGCGGCAUCCUGGACCGGUAUUGACGCUGAUGCGCGAAAGCCAGGGGAGCAAACGGG